AGCACGAGGUCUGUUUCAUUUUGCUAUUCAAUGUGCUUAUGCUUGUUAUUUUGUGAUGAAUCCAAUUAAAGCUGCAGACACUGUAUCACGCAACAGCUUUUACUAAUUGGAUUAUUGUGAUGAUCCAGCAACGGGUUACCCGUGACUGUGACAGGAUGUUGUAAACAAUUCACGUAAUAUCUUAAAAACUAAAAACAGCAUUACCGCGAAUGAAACAAGACAUUGAUCUGUGUAAGUGCUCAAUAAUGAGAUUAACUUAUUUCUUUGAAAAAUAUUAAGUGUCGUACGAGAUUCCCAAACUUUUGCUGGAUGAUGUUGACGCUGACGAGAGUUGUUUUUUUCUUAGUUCUACCCCAAAAAAACAUGCUUCAUUCCAGGCAGCUCAAGUAGAUGAGGAUGCUUCUCUGAACUGAAACGGUUUCACCUGUCGCCAAGGAAAACGAAGAAUAGAAAUGGGUAUAUGGCGGUAUACUUUGACAGGGUAUGCAGGUAAAGGAGCCAAAAAAUUGGCAGCAUAUGGAUAGUUCACCAUAGCAAGAUUUGUCCACACAUUUGUAAGCCAGUCCUUCAAAUUAACUACAUCAUCAGUCCCAUUUAA